UAAUACGAAGGGGGCUAGCGUUGUUCGGAAUUACUGGGCGUAAAGCGCACGUAGGCGGAUUGUUAAGUUAGGGGUGAAAUCCCAGGGCUCAACCCUGGAACUGCCUUUAAUACUGGCAAUCUCGAGUCCGAGAGAGGUGAGUGGAAUUCCGAGUGUAGAGGUGAAAUUCGUAGAUAUUCGGAGGAACACCAGUGGCGAAGGCGGCUCACUGGCUCGGUACUGACGCUGAGGUGCGAAAGCGUGGGGAGCAAACAGG
rnacentral:rRNA from 1 species